UAAAGCCGGAUAGGGAGUUAAGAAGGCAUUUUNNUUAUUUUUAAAAGACCCUACCAAUAGGUAUGCUUAGGGAAGAGCUUGGGUCCACAUUAGUUAGUUGGUGGGGUAAUGGCCCACCAAGACGAUGAUGUGUAGCCGGGCUGAGAGGUCGAACGGCCACAUUGGGACUGAGACACGGCCCAGACUCCUACGGGAGGCAGCAGUAAGGAAUUUUCGGCAAUGGAGGAAACUCUGACCGAGCAAUGCCGCGUGAACGAUGAAGUAUUUCGGUACGUAAAGUUCUUUUAUUAGGGAAGAAAAGAUGGUGGAAAAACCGUUAUGACGGUACCUAAUGAAUAAGCCCCGGCUAACUAUGUGCCAGCAGCCGCGGUAAUACAUAGGGGGCAAGCGUUAUCCGGAAUUAUUGGGCGUAAAGGGUGCGUAGGCGGUUAAAUAAGUUUAUGGUCUAAGUGCAACGCUCAACGUUGUGAUGCUAUAAAAACUGUUUAGCUAGAGUUGGAUAGAGGCAAGUGGAAUUCCGUGUGUAGUGGUAAAAUGCGUAAAUAUACGGAGGAACACCAGAAGCGAAGGCGGCUUGCUGGGUCUUAACUGACGCUGAGGCACGAAAGCGUGGGGAGCAAACAGGAUUAGAUACCCUGGUAGUCCACGCCCUAAACGAUGAGUACUAAACGUUGGAUAAAACCAGUGUUGAAGUUAACACAUUAAGUACUCCGCCUGAGUAGUACGUACGCAAGUAUGAAACUUAAAGGAAUUGACGGGACUCCGCACAAGCGGUGGAUCAUGUUGUUUAAUUCGAAGGUACCCGAAAAGCCUCACCAGGUCUUGACAUGCUUUUGCAAAGCUGUAGAAAUACAGUGGAGGUUAUCAGAAGCACAGGUGGUGCAUGGUUGUCGUCAGCUCGUGUCGUGAGAUGUUGGGUUAAGUCCCGCAACGAGCGCAACCCUUGUUGUUAAUUGCCAUCAUUAAGUUGGGGACUUUAGCAAGACUGCCAAUGAUAAAUUGGAGGAAGGUGGGGACGACGUCAAAUCAUCAUGCCCCUUAUGACCUGGGCUACAAACGUGAUACAAUGGCUGUUACAAAGGGUACCUAAAACGUAAGCUUCUGGCGAAUCUCAAAAAAGCAGUCUCAGUUCGGAAUGAAUCUCCAACUCGACUUCAUGAANUUGGAAUCGCUAGUAAUCCCGAAUCCCCAUGUCCCGGUGAAUACGUUAACGGGUU
rnacentral:rRNA from 1 species